rnacentral:lncRNA from 1 species
CUUGUAUCUAUACUUUUAUCUUUUCUUAUCUUUUAUAUUCUUUAUUUAUUUUCUUUACUCUUACCUUAUGGAAAACCAAAAUUCUAAAUCGAUCCAUGAGUCUGCGAUCCCUUCAGUAACUGACCUUUUACCAUGGGAAUCAUCACAGCCUAUCCAAACAUCCCAGUAUAAGUUAAGUUCUAGGUUGAUUGCCAUGAUUCAAAACCUAUCUUUUUCGGG